UACGGGGGGGGCAAGCGUUGUUCGGAAUUACUGGGCGUAAAGGGCUCGUAGGCGGCCAACUAAGUCAUACGUGAAAUCCCUCGGCUUAACCGGGGAACUGCGUCUGAUACUGGAUGGCUUGAGUUCGGGAGAGGGAUGCGGAAUUCCAGGUGCAGCGGUGAAAUGCGUAGAUAUCAGGAGGAACACCUGUGGCGAAGGCGUCCAUCUGGCCCGUUACUGACGCUGAGGCGCGAAAGCUAGGGGAGCAAACGGG
rnacentral:rRNA from 1 species